GGAAUAUUGGACAAUGGGCGAAAGCCUGAUCCAGCCAUGCCGCGUGUGUGAAGAAGGUCUUCGGAUUGUAAAGCACUUUAAGUUGGGAGGAAGGGCAGUAAGUUAAUACCUUGCUGUUUGGACGUUACCGACAGAAUAAGCACCGGCUAAUGUCUUGCCAGCAGCCGCGGUAAUACGAAGGGUGCAAGCGUUAAUCGGAAUUACUGGGCGCAAAGCGCGCGUAGGUGGUUUGUUAAGUUGGAAGUGAAAGCCCCGGGCUUAACCUGGGAAUUGCUUUCAAAACUGACGAGCUAGAGUACGGUAGAGGGUAGUGGAAUUUCCUGUGUAGCGGUGAAAUGCGUAGAUAUAGGAAGGAACAUCAGUGGCGAAGGCGACCACCUGGGCUAAUACUGACACUGAGGUGCGAAAGCGUGGGGAGCAAACAGG
rnacentral:rRNA from 1 species